GAUAAUCUUAUUUUUCGUUUUUUCGUGUUUAACGUUUUACCAUUCGUCUUAUUUGAAAUUUUUUUACGAUUAAUAUUUUUAUUGUUACUAGAUGAUAAAAUAUGAAUAGUACUUUAUACGUGAAUAAUUUUUUUAAGUUUUUAUACAAAAUUUUCAAAUAAGACGAAUGGUCAAACGUUGGACACAGAAAAAC
rfam:Oryza brachyantha chromosome 11, whole genome shotgun sequence.